GACGAACCGUGCGAACGUUGUUCGGAAUCACUGGCUUAAAGGGCGCGUAGGCGGGCUCGCAAGUCAGGGGUGAAAGCCCGCGGCUCAACCGCGGAAGCGCCUUUGAUACUGCGGGCCUCGGGGGGGGUAGGGGCGUGCGGAACUUCCGGUGGAGCGGUGAAAUGCGUAGAUAUCGGAAGGAACACCGGUGGCGAAAGCGGCGCGCUGGACCCCCACUGACGCUGAGGCGCGAAAGCCAGGGGAGCAAACGGGG
rnacentral:rRNA from 1 species